AUUGAACGCUGGCGGCAUGCCUUACACAUGCAAGUCGAACGGUAACGGGCCUUCGGGUGCCGACGCGUGGCGAACGGGCGAGUAAUACAUCGGAACGUGCCCGAUCGUGGGGGAUAACGAGGCGAAAGCUUUGCUAAUACCGCAUACGAUCUACGGAUGAAAGCAGGGGACCGCAAUGCCUUGCGCGGACGGAGCGGCCGAUGGCCGAUUAGGUAGUUGGUGGGAUAAAAGCUUACCAAGCCGACGAUCUGUAGCUGGUCUGAGAGGAUGAUCAGCCACACUGGGACUGAGACACGGCCCAGACUCCUACGGGAGGCAGCAGUGGGGAAUUUUGGACAAUGGGCGCAAGCCUGAUCCAGCCAUGCCGCGUGCAGGAUGAAGGCCUUCGGGUUGUAAACUGCUUUUGUACGGAACGAAAAGCCUUCUUUUAAUACAGGAGGGUCAUGACGGUACCGUAAGAAUAAGCACCGGCUAACUACGUG
rnacentral:rRNA from 1 species